rnacentral:ncRNA from 2 species
ACUAGAAUGCACGCUGUUGGUGCCCGUGCCGGCGUUCAGUCGGCACAGUUAAACGGGAAGCAGAAGAGCGUCCUCGACGCUCGAAUCUGCGCUGCCCCCGCAACGGUACGGCGGACGAAGUCGAUGGGGUCAGCCUCGUCGCUUCCGCUCUCGCGCACAUGCCACUGAAGGCCGGUCCGGCUUCGGGAAGGUCGCGAGGGUCGCUCCGCCAGCCCGGAUACCGGCCAACGAGCGGACGCGUGU